rnacentral:rRNA from 1 species
UGAGGAAUAUUGGUCAAUGGACGAGAGUCUGAACCAGCCAAGUAGCGUGAAGGAUGAAGGCCCUAUGGGUCGUAAACUUCUUUUAUAGGGGAAUAAAGUGCGGAACGUGUUCCGCUUUGUAUGUACCCUACGAAUAAGGAUCGGCUAACUCCGUGCCAGCAGCCGCGGUAAUACGGAGGAUCCGAGCGUUAUCCGGAUUUAUUGGGUUUAAAGGGAGCGUAGGUGGAUAUAUAAGUCAGUUGUGAAAGUUUGCGGCUCAACCGUAAAAUUGCAGUUGAUACUGUAUGUCUUGAGUGUACAAGAGGUGGGCGGAAUUCGUGGUGUAGCGGUGAAAUGCUUAGAUAUCACGAAGAACUCCGAUUGCGAAGGCAGCUCACUAGCGUACAACUGACACUGAGGCUCGAAAGUGUGGGUAUCAAACAGGAUUAGAUACCCUGGUAGUCCACACAGUAAACGAUGAAUACUCGCUGUUUGCGAUAUACAGUAAGCGGCCAAGCGAAAGCAUUAAGUAUUCCACCUGGGGAGUACGCCGGCAACGGUG